rnacentral:rRNA from 1 species
AACGCGAAGAACCUUACCUGGGCUUGACAUGGAGCUGCACGACCUAUGAAAGUAGGUCUCCUUCGAGGGUGCUUCACAGGUGCUGCAUGGCUGUCGUCAGUUCGUGCCGUGAGGUGUUUGGUUAAGUCCACCAACGAACGCAACCCCUUUGGGAUGUUGCCAGCGGGUAAUGCCGGGAACUCGUCCCAGACUGCUUGUUCACGCAAGAGGAAGGUGGGGAUGACGUCAAGUCAGUAUGGCCCUUACGCCCAGGGCUGCACACGUGCUACAAUGGCCGGUACAGAGGGAAGCGAUGCCGCGAGGCGGAGCCAACCCCAGAGAGCCGGCCCAGUUCGGAUCGAGGUCUGCAACCCGACCUCGUGAAGUCGGAUUUGUUAGUAACGGCGUAUCAGCUACGACGCCGUGAAUGCGUUCCCGGGCCUUGUACACACCGCCCGU